AGCUGCGUGGUGAGCACAAAGCGAACUAUUCUUUCGCCUUUUACUAAAGAAUACCGUGUGCACGCCACACACAGCGGCAUACGCCUAUUUUUGAAGGUGUUCCCUCUCUGUGAGGGGGC